AUGAGUAAUGAUGUAAUCUCUAUUUGCUCCUGCAAUGUCCGUGGUUUGGGUGAUCACGAUAAAUGUGCCGCUGUCCUAUCUGAACUGUUAGCAAUCAACCCUCACAUUGCCCUCUUGCAAGAAUCUGAACUAGAAUCUUUCUUCGACGCCAAAUUACGCUCCUUUUUACCCCACCACCUGGACCAAAGUCUUCUCGUUGCCGCCAUUGGCACGGCCGGCGGCACCAUAUCCGCAGUCAACUCCUCCUCCCUCCAGGUCAUCUCGCACUCCCACCUAAAUUUCUCCUCCACCGUAAUCCUACGAUCAACUGCAUGUGCCCUUGACAUCGCCAUCACCAACAUCUACGCCCCCUCUAGCCAUGCCCUCAAACCGGUCUUUGUUGACGAGCUUCUCUCGAUCGCACAACCAGACGAUGCUCCCUGGCUCGUUCUUGGCGACUUCAAUCUCCUACGCUUCCCAUCCGACAAGAACAACUCCACCUUUAGACGAUCAGAAGCGAACGCUUUCAACCAGGUUAUCGAUACCCUAGCCCUCAUUGAACUACCUCUCCUCGACCGACAAUUUACGUGGUCUAAUAACUGAUCCUCGCCCACGUUGGAAAAGAUCGAUCGUGCGUUCUUUAAUCUCGCUUGGGCAGAUGCUUUCCCUAAUACCUCCUUGUCCUAUCUCACACGUUUCAUCUCUGGUCACGUUCCCCUGCUUGUACAUGUCACCAAUACGAUCCCACGUUCUAACUUCUUCAAAUUCGAGCCUGGUUGGUCCAAAUUUUGCCCAUGCAACGACAUCAUCACACGAUGCUGCUCGCCCUCGCUUUCCCAUUUAACCAACUCGGCUGCUAUCCUCGCAGCAGCACUCAAAAAAUCACGGUCUGAACUCAAAACUUGGACACGUUCUCGCAUUCCCACCCACUCUGCGAAUCACGCUGCAAAACCGCCAUCUUAG
rnacentral:rRNA from 1 species